rnacentral:rRNA from 1 species
AUACGGAGGAUGCGAGCGUUAUCCGGAUUUAUUGGGUUUAAAGGGUGCGUAGGCUGUGCGUUAAGUCAGGGGUGAAAUGCCGUCGCUCAACGACGGAGCUGCCCUUGAUACUGGCGUGCUGGAGUACGGAUGCCGUUGGAGGAAUGAGUGGUGUAGCGGUGAAAUGCUUAGAUAUCACUCAGAACACCGAUUGCGAAGGCAUCUGACGAAUCCGUCACUGACGCUGAGGCACGAAAGCGUGGGGAUAGAACAGGAUUAGAUACCCUGGUAUUCCACGCCGUAACGAUGAUGACUAACCGUCGGCGAUAGACAGCCGGUGGCCAAGCGAAAGCGAUAAGUCAUCCACCUGGGGAGUACGUCGGCAACGAUGAAACUCAAAUGAAUUGACGGGG